rnacentral:lncRNA from 1 species
UAUAUAUAUAUAUUAUUAUAUUUUAAUAAUAUAAUAAUGGUGAUAUUUUUACAACGAAUGUGGGAUAUAUGAGUAUACGAGGAAGAAGAGUAUUUUUGUUGCAAUAAAUGUUUAAAACAUGUUAAACAUGUCGGUGGACCCCAUUUCUUGACUGAAAUUUGAUUAUAGCCUGUAAAAUCGCCCGUUUGUGGAUUUCGGUC